AAAGAAUAAGUGCACUUGAGUAUAACAAUGGCUGGAUGAGGCCGGUAUAAAUGUCUAUUCUGCACUAGGUACAGACAAGUCUGGUGGGAUCCAUGCCUGGUUCAUUUUAAUAAACAUGACCUUGUCCACGUUGGCCGUGGACAGGCGGCUGCGCUUGUCUGUGAUAACCUCAUGCCGAUCGCAUGUCCCCGUGAUGGAUGUCUACCCUAUCAACUUUCGAUGCAAUUUUCCGCACCUACCAUGGUGACCACGGGUAACGGGGAAUCAGGGUUCGAUUCCGGAGAGGGAGCUUGAGAAAUGGCUACCACAUCCAAGGAAGGCAGCAGGCGCGCAAAUUACCCACUCCCGACGCAGGGAGGUAGUGAU